GGCAACCUCCAAGUGGUGAGACCUGGGCAAUUGAUAUUUUUGUCGAUGCAAUGUAUAUUAUAUCUUACAUAAUAUACAUUCCACCGAAAAUGAUAUCGAGCUAAUGGCUGCUUAAUGUAAAACAUAUAUAAUGUUAUAAUGUUAAUAAUAUAGGUCAGAUAUGGUCUCGGAGAAUAAAUAAGAUAUAAAUAUUAAACAAUUCGAUGUAAUUUUUAUUAGUCGCGGUGGGAGUCCAAGAAAAUGAUACCGUAUGCAACAAUAUAUGAUUUUACAAUAGAAUAUUUUAUAUUAUACAAAACAAACUA